GAGUUUGAUCCUGGCUCAGAUUGAACGCUGGCGGCAUGCCUUACACAUGCAAGUCGAACGGCAGCACGGGUGCUUGCACCUGGUGGCGAGUGGCGAACGGGUGAGUAAUACAUCGGAACAUGUCCUGUAGUGGGGGAUAGCCCGGCGAAAGCCGGAUUAAUACCGCAUACGAUCUACGGAUGAAAGCGGGGGACCUUCGGGCCUCGCGCUAUAGGGUUGGCCGAUGGCUGAUUAGCUAGUUGGUGGGGUAAAGGCCUACCAAGGCGACGAUCAGUAGCUGGUCUGAGAGGACGACCAGCCACACUGGGACUGAGACACGGCCCAGACUCCUACGGGAGGCAGCAGUGGGGAAUUUUGGACAAUGGGCGAAAGCCUGAUCCAGCAAAGCC
rnacentral:rRNA from 1 species